rnacentral:rRNA from 1 species
AUUGAACGCUGGCGGCAUGCCUUACACAUGCAAGUCGAACGGCAGCACGGGUGCUCGCACCUGGUGGCGAGUGGCGAACGGGUGAGUAAUACAUCGGAACGUACCUUAUCGUGGGGGAUAACGCAGCGAAAGCUGUGCUAAUACCGCAUACGCCCUGAGGGGGAAAGCGGGGGAUCGCAAGACCUCGCGCGAUUAGAGCGGCCGAUGCCUGAUUAGCUGGUUGGUGGGGUAAAAGCCCACCAAGGCGACAAUCAGUAGCUGGUCUGAGAGGGCGAUCAACCACACUGGGACUGAGACACGGCCCAGACUCCUACGGGAGGCAGCAGGGGGGAAUGUUGGACAAUGGGGGCAACCCUGAUCCAGCAAUGCCGCGUGAGUGAAGAAGGCCGUCGGGUUGGAAAGCUCUUUUGUCAGGGAAGAAACACUGGCUCUAACACAGUCUGGGAAUGACGGUACCUGAAGAAUAAGCACCGGCUAACUACGUGCCAGCAGCCGCCGCCG